rnacentral:rRNA from 1 species
UUCCUAAAGAAUUAAUUUUAGGUAAAACCUGCUCAAUGUAAAUAUUAACAGCCGCAGGAAAUUUACUGUGCUAAGGUAGCAUAAUCAUUAGUCUUCUAAUUAAAGACUAGAAUGAAAGGUUUAACAAUUCAAAUAUUUUUCUUAAUUAUAUUUUGAAUUUUUAUUAAUUAUAAAAAUAUAAUUAUUAAAAAAUUAGACGACAAGACCCUAUUAAACUUAACUUAAGUUUAGCUGGGGAAGCUAAUCAAUAAUUAUUUUGAUUAAAAAAUUAAAGUAAAAACCCAAUAAUAUUGAAUUUAAUAAGUUACUAUAGGGAUAACAGCGUUAUCUUAUUUUUAAGAUCUUAUUUAAAAUAAGCAUUGCGACCUCGAUGUUGAAUAAUUUAACUUUUAUGAGCAAAAUCAUAAAAAGUAAGACUGUUCGUCUUUUAAAAAAUUACA